rnacentral:rRNA from 1 species
GUCUACGGCCAUGCUACCCUGAAGAAGCCCAAUUCCCAUCUGAUCUCGGAAGCUAAGAGGAUCGGGCCUGGUUAGUACUUUGAUGAAAGACCACCUAGGAAGACCAGGUGCUAUAGGUG